UUCCGGUUGAUCCCGCCGGAGGUCACUGCUAUUGGGAUUCGACUAAGCCAUGCGAGUCGAGAGGGUUCGGCCCUCGGCUGACGGCUCAGUAACACGUGGAUAAUCUGCCCUUAGGUGGAGGAUAAUCUCGGGAAACUGAGGAUAAUACUCCAUAGAUCUAGGAUGCUGGAAUGCAUCUAGAUUGAAAGCUCCGGCGCCUAAGGAUGAGUCUGCGGACUAUCAGGUUGUAGUCAGGGUAAAGACCUGACUAGCCUACGACGGAUACGGGUUGUGAGAGCAAUAACCCGGAGACGAUAUCUGAGACACGAUAUCGGGCCCUACGGGGCGCAGCAGGCGCGAAAACUUCACACUGUGCGAAAGCGCGAUGAGGGAAUCCCAAGUGUUUGCUCGUAAGAGUAAACUGUUUCUUUGUUUAAAACGCAGAGAGAGUAAGGGCUGGGUAAGACGGGUGCCAGCCGCCGCGGUAAUACCUGCAGCUCAAGUGGUGAUCAUUAUUAUUGGGCCUAAAACGUCCGUAGCCGGUUUAGUAAAUGCCUGGGUAAAUCGUGUAGCUUAACUAUACGACUUCCGGGUAGACUGCUAAACUUGAGACCGGGUGAGGCUAGAGGUACUCCUGGGGUAGAGGUGAAAUUCUGUAAUCCUAGGGGGACCACCAGUGGCGAAGGCGUCUAGCUAGAACGGGUCUGACGGUGAGGGACGAAGCCCUGGGGCACAAACCGGAUUAGAUACCCGGGUAGUCCAGGGUGUAAACGCUGCUUGCUUGAUGUUAGUUGGGCUCCGAGCCCAACUAGUGUCGGAGAGAAGUUGUUAAGCAAGCUGCCUGGGAAGUACGGUCGCAAGGCUGAAACUUAAAGGAAUUGGCGGGGGGAGCACAACAACGGGUGGAGCGUGCGGUUUAAUUGGAUUCAACGCCGGG
rnacentral:rRNA from 1 species